CAAGUCGGACGGGACUUUUCGCUGUAGCAAUACAGUGGAAAGUUCAGUGGCAAACGGGUGCGUAACACGUGGGCAAUCUGCCUUAAAGUGUGGGAUAGCUCGGCGAAAGCCGAAUUAAUACCGCAUGUGAUCAGAGGCGACAUCGCUUCGAAAUCAAAGGUGGCGCAAGCUACCGCUUUUUGAGGAGCCCGCGGCCUAUCAGCUUGUUGGUGAGGUAACGGCUCACCAAGGCGUUGACGGGUAGCUGGUCUGAGAGGACGACCAGCCACACUGGGACUGAGACACGGCCCAGACACCUACGGGUGGCAGCAGUCGAGAAUUUUUGACAAUGGGGGAAACCCUGAUCGAGCGACGCCGCGUGGAGGAUGAAGGUCUUCGGGUUGUAAACUCCUGUCAUUUGGGAACAAGGCGCAUGUAUUAACUGUGCAUGCGUUGAUAGUACCAGAAGAGGAAGAGACGGCUAACUCUGUGCCAGCAGCCGCGGUAAUACAGAGGUCUCAAGCGUUGUUCGGAUUCAUUGGGCGUAAAGGGUGUGUAGGUGGCGCGCUAAGUCGGGUGUGAAAUUUCGGAGCUUAACUCCGAAACUGCAUUCGAUACUGGCGUGCUUGAGGACUGGAGAGGAGACUGGAAUUUACGGUGUAGCAGUGAAAUGCGUAGAUAUCGUAAGGAAGACCAGUGGCGAAGGCGGGUCUCUGGACAGUUCCUGACACUGAGACACGAAGGCCAGGGGAGCAAACGGGAUUAGAUACCCCGGUAGUCCUGGCAGUAAACGGUGCAUGUUUGGUGUGGGAGGAUUCGACCCCUUCUGCGCCGGAGCUAACGCGUUAAACGUGCCGCCUGGGGAGUACGGUCGCAAGAUUAAAACUCAAA
rnacentral:rRNA from 1 species